GAGGCUGUGGAACAGCAAAUAUUGCAGAACAGAAAAUACUGCUGCCUGAUCCUUCCUCUGGAAACUUCGUCCUAGAGUGGCACCCACCUACAUGAGAUGUGCUGUUCUUGACGUCCUUACUUCUGUCCUCAGAAUCAUAUCUUCGCAUCUGAAAGAAGGCAACAGCAUUGAGCAACAAUCUGGGACUCUAUUUGAUAUCUUCCCUUGAGAAGUGUUAAAUGUUGCCAUAAUCUUGACAGUUCAAAAGUUAGUCAUGUGGUUGAUAUUUUACCAAUGAGAUGAAUGUGACUGUAAUAUGGGCAAAUCCCACCUACCAUAAAAGCUGGCAAUACUUGCCUAAUAUUGAAGGAAGGAGACAUUUAGAGCAAGCCAGGAAGCUGGAACACCGGAUCAGGAACAGACACUUCUCCGCAAGUUUAGAGUUUGGUAUUUCUCAAGUCCUGGCCUGAGGGAUGUUUACUCUCAGGUUAUACAAAGUCCCAGCUUGGGUUCUGGAAAAAUUGAACUGACAACUUUGCCUGAAAGAAGUUUCUUGCUAACUCCUAGGUACAUCUUGAUUUUAUUAGACCAUGGCUAUUAUUGUGAGGUUUAUUCAGAGCAAUGAAGAUGUCACUCACCGUGUCAAAUUCAUAGGUAUGGUGGCCUUUAUUACCUGGCAACAUGCAUUUUGUUAUACAUCAAAUCCAUGUAGGGCCAUAUUAUCUGGAUCUCAGAUGUUACUGAGAAAUGUUGUAAGGUAAAUAGAUUUUUUGGGGAAUAUCUUGGACUUAGCACACUUUACUUAAUAGAAAUAUAUUUAUUGUCUUCACUUUUAAGUUACUCUGCCACUUUGCCAUUCAACCUCUAUUGGCUCUUUAUUAACUUCAAUUAGAUUUUUCCUUCUCUUUUCCUUUAGAGAUAAAAUUAAAUAAAAAUAAAAACUUCUAAAGCAAACUCUAUUCCUUUAUAAAUACUGUCUAAACGUGCCAGUGGUGUGUCCAAUUUUAGACACAAGAGCUUAAAGUUGAAUGCAAAUUUUGAUUUUCUUUAUAAAUGAGAUGAUGAAAAUCUAUUGUGAAAAGGUUAUGAGAAAAAAGCUUAUCUUGUAAUUGCAGCCAAGAUCCAAGCCAUUAUUUAAGACGUGAAGCAUUUGGCAACAAAGAGAUUGUUGUCAUUAAAAAGGAAGCCCAACGCAUUAUUCUUGGGCUGAGAAAAAAUAAUUUAGCUGUCAUUGUUAUUUAAGGAGUAACACCGGAAGAUGGGAGACAUUAAAAUAAGCAGCUUUACCUCAAGAAGUGUAAUAUCUUCUUUUCCCUCUAAGAUGCAGAGGUAGUUAAUAAACAUUUGAUGAUUGAUUUAAACAUAUUAGAGAGAGAUUCACUUGUUAGUAUUUAUCAUCUAGCUAAAUUGUAUUUUUUUAAUGUAUACAACUGAGAUGAAGCCAAUAGAACUUUACCACAGUGGUUGUAAAGAGAUAAGAAAUUAUUAUUUCUCAUUAUACCAUCAGCAGACUGAGGUCUGUAACUUGAUACUUAUGCAAAAGAUUACUAAAUUGGUAGCUAUUCUUAUAAAAUAUUCACUUUAGGAAAGAAGGUGAGAAUGAGGCCACUGACGUCAUCUUGGCUUGGUUUACUUAAGCCUGGGCAAAGAGGGAAAAGGGCACUGGAGAUUU
rnacentral:lncRNA from 1 species